AUUGAACGCUGGCGGCAGGCUUAACACAUGCAAGUCGAGCGAGCGGCGGACGGGUGAGUAAUGUCUGGGAAACUGCCUGAUGGAGGGGGAUAACUACUGGAAACGGUAGCUAAUACCGCAUACCAUCAGAUGUGCCCAGAUGGGAUUAGCUAGUAGGUGGGGUAAUGGCUCACCUAGGCGACGAUCCCUAGCUGGUCUGAGAGGAUGACCAGCCACACUGGAACGAAGACAGGGUCCAGACUCCUACGGGAGGCAGGAGUGGGGAAUAUGGCACAAGGGGCGAAAGCCUGAUGCGGCCAUGCCGCGUGUGUGAAGAAGGCCUUCGGGUUGAAAAGCACUUUCAGCGAGGAGGCGUUACCCGAAGAAGAAGCACCGGCUAACUCCGUGCAAGCAGCCGCGGUAAUA
rnacentral:rRNA from 1 species